rnacentral:rRNA from 1 species
GACGAACGCUGGCGGCGUGCUUAACACAUGCAAGUCGAACGAGUGGCGAACGGGUGAGUAACACGUGGGUGAUCUGCCUUGCACUUCGGGAUAAGCUUGGGAAACUGGGUCUAAUACCGGAUAGUGCAAGAUGAGCUCGCGGCCUAUCAGCUUGUUGGUGGGGUAAUGGCUACCAAGGCGCGACGGGUAGCCGGCCUGAGAGGGUGUACGGCCACAUUGGGACUGAGAUACGGCCCAGACUCCAACGGGAAGCAGCAUUGGGGUAUAUUGCACAAUGGGCGGAAGCCAGAUGAAGCGACGCGGCGCGGUAAUAC